CCGAGGAGAGCGACGGGGGCUCUCGGGAGCUGCACCGGCCCCACAGCGGCACGGGCUGAGGCCCGACGCUGCCCCCGAGUGAAGGAGGGGCUCCUGCACCCCAGACUCUCCGUGUGCCUGCAGGACAGUCCCCCCAUCUCUCGCUCGGGGCCUUGGCCUCCCCGGGACACCUAGCAGCUUAGCACUGGGCAGAGGACUCAGGCACCCCCAGAAACCAGUCAGAAACCAUCUGAGCGGGAGCCUCGGGCAAGCCUGCUAUUUUAAGCUUCCAAAGAACAACAAGAAUUUGUCACCGAGCCAGCCAACUAUGGACUGAAACCUCUACAAAUUGUAAGCUAAAUAAACCCUUUGUCCUCUUAAAAAAGACCCUACUUUUGGCUGAAGCCUGGGGCUGUCACCGGGGACACAGCCUCUGCCCUUCUUACCCAGUCCUUUCCCUAAAACCAAGUUGCUGUACAUUUGUUAGGUAAUUUUUUUUUUUCCGGUAUCAGGGACAGAACUCAGGACCUUGUACUUUCGAGGCAGGUGUGGCGCCACUAAGCUAAAUCCUUGGCCCUGAUGCUGUACAUUUAUUUAAGGGAGUUAAGAUAAUGAAUGAGACCUACACCAGUCCAUGUUACAUACAUUAAAUGCAUGGAUAUAUUAUAUAUACAUUUAUUGUCACAAAAAUCAUGUUCUGCCAGGUGUGGUGGCACAUGCCUGUGAUCCCAGGACUCGGGAUGCUGAGGCAGGAGGAUUGCCACGAGUUUUAGGACAGCCUGGGCUACAUAGUGAGUUCAAGGGCAGCCUGGACUACAUAGCAAGAGCCUGUCUCAAAAAUCAAAACCAAACAAACAAAAAGAAUCAUGUUGCCCAAUUGUAUUUUUCUGUAAAAUAAAUUGUCUGUUUUUAAUAACAAAUCAUUCAAAAUCACUAACACUAGCUAGCUCUGGGUUGAGAGCUUUCACUUUUAACUUUAUACAUUUCUCUACAAAAUUGAGUGAAUUGUCCAAAAUCAGAAUAUAUUACUUUUAUAAUUUUAAAAAGACAGUAAUAAAAAAGCAUCUCUAGAAAGGAAUAAUUCAUUCUCCUCUUCAGCUCUCUAUUUCCCCAAAUCCUGAUUAACCCUAAUUAAUCUCUAUCUUCUUACUAGCUCAAUUUAAUGUUCCAAUUGGAUUAGCGCUCUGGAAAAGAGAGAACAUCUUUCUCCAAUUGGCAUUAUGCCCAGCUGUCCCCAAGGUGGCCUUGAGGGCUUGGGGACAGAGAAGGUCAGAAUUGGGGUCAUCGAGAGGGUUCCAGCUUCGAGCACAGUGAGCCCUUGCAGUGGGUGGCAGGGGUCUCAGAAGGAGGGGCAGUGUAGGAAGUAGCCCCAGGAAGGAUGGCGAGCCCUGUGGCCCUGUGGGGAACCACGGCUGGGCUGGUGGUCCCAGGGUUGCUAGGCAACUGAAAGGUCAGUGGCUGCCAGGCUGAAUUAGGCAGCUAGCACAUGAGGCUCCCUGCAAGCUGGGUGCUGCUAAGAGCAAGCGUUUUUCUCACCUUUUUUCUAUCUUUACAACAACUCUAUAUAGUACAGGCAUUGUUCCACUUUACAGAGGAGAAACUGAGGCCUGGGUCAUUAUGUAAAUUGCCUCAAGUUACCCUGCUACUUAGCAGCAGGCUGGACUUUGCCACCAGGCAGCUCUGGCUCUCUCAGGCCCUGCAUUUCACCACUACUACAUAGCUCCUCCAUCCUCCAGAGGCUGAGCUUGACCUGAAUUCUAGGAUUCCAUGAUUCCGAUUUGAGAGCCCUUGCAGUGCUCCGGAGCACCCACUCGAACAAGCCUUGUGGGGGAUGGAGGGUGGGCACCCCCGUCAUGAGGCCUGGGAUCCCAGAGCUGGAGACUCUGGGAAACAGGCAGCAGUUGAACCUGCUCCCCCAGCUCUGAGCCCAGGCACGGGGGAUGGGCAAGGUGCCCAAGAAGGGCAGACAGUGCCCAGUGCUGGACAAUCCAACCUCUCCGGAGGAGGCAGGAAGGCCCCACCCCUGGGCAAAAGGUUUCAGGUACAGGGGCCCUGAGUGUGUCUUGCCUGGCACUGAGCAGGCCUCCCCAUGGAGGCCCAGUCCCUGCCUCAGCUGGAGGAAUGUCAGGCUCCAAAAUACCCCUUGCUCCAAAAUACCCCUGGGGGCUGCAGAAACUUGGGGACAGAGGGUCAGGAUCUCCAGCAGGGGUCGCCCGAACUCCCCCUCUGGGUCCCAAGCCCCCGGCAGGUGAGCCCAGAUUUGAGACGCAGCAGCCACGGCCUGUAGCCCACCACCCGUACCAGAGGGGGUCCGUGCAGAUGUACACCCGGUGCCAAGCAUGUGCAAGGGAGGUGGGCAGGGGACACAUGCAGUUGUCAUGGCAGCAGAAGCAUCGCA